GCUGUAGCUUAGUGGUGGAGCCCAUGUUUUGAAUGCAAAAGGUCCCAGGUUCAACCCCUAGCAUCUCCA